ACACCUAGCUCGGCUAUUAGACUAUUCUUUAGUAAAGGUUGAAUUGUCUAUUGUUCAGCUAUUAGCCCUCCUCCCCAAUUUGCAACAAAUUGCUGUUCCCAUCUCAUUCUAUUCCCUCUUCCACGCGUCAUCAUUCUGCUCCUGAGUGGGCGUGCUGGCAGGAUAUGGCAGCAGCUUCGGUUGUGCGUCAAGAAUUCUGCAUACAGUAGCACGUUCGUAUGAAGGAAGUCAAAGCGGAUCCCUACGAAGAUGACAUCUCAGAGAGCGAGCUGACCAAGGGGUCGAAAAUAUAGAUAUUGCCAGGUGUUCACUGUCCCAGGAACAGGCCGUGGAAACUUUAUUGCUGGCAAGUGUCCAUAACCAGAGUUAUAUCAGCUGUUUUGGUGAACCCCUCCCACAUCUGAACUGGCUGACACAGAGGGCACAGCAUGAUCAUAGGUGAGAUGUCACUUGGUCGGGUCAACAGGAAGUAUUAUUAAAGAGAUGCUUUACAUUGAAAUACAGACAGAGAUGUAGUAGUCCCAGAGUUAAUGAUCCAAGGUCAGUUUUGCAUUACACCUCCUGAUUUAAAAUGACUGACUGUGUUAGAAUAAAAAAAACAAGGCUUAAUCAUGCUCUGUCGUCUAAAGGUAUGUUUUGAUGUGAGUGAGAGAG